rnacentral:rRNA from 1 species
UACGAGGGGGGCGAGCGUUGUUCGGAAUUAUUGGGCGUAAAGGGUGCGUAGGCGGUUUGGUAAGUCUGAUGUGAAAUCCCUGGGCUCAACCCAGGGCCUGCAUCGGAAACUGUCGGGCUUGAGUAUGGGAGAGGUGAGUGGAAUUUCCGGUGUAGCGGUGAAAUGCGUAGAUAUCGGAAGGAACACCUGUGGCGAAAGCGGCUCACUGGACCAUUACUGACGCUGAGGCACGAAAGCUAGGGGAGCAAACAGG